ACCUCCUAUACCUCCCUUUUUCUUUCCUUGCACCCACCUAUAUCAGAAGCUUCUUCCACUGUUGAUGCAGGCCCUAAUACCUUUCCUGAUUAUUGCUUAUGCUGGCUAAUUUGAUUGCUUUCUCAGAAGACAGUGAGCUGAGUACAAUAAAAUAUUUGAUUUUAUGGUCUUUUUCUUUUUAAAAAAAUCAUAGCAUUCUCAAACUAUGGAAUAGAUCCUGGUAUAGAGUAAAUUUUCUCUAUAUUUGCUGAAUGCUGAGUCAAUAAACUAUCUGAAAGGAAACCUAUUCUUUCCAAAAUGUGUUUUAAUAAUUAUGAUUUUAACAUAUUAAAUGAAGGAAGCUGUAAAAGUUUUUCAAAGUUUCUCCCUCAAUAUUUAAUUACUAACUAGCUGAGUAAAUAAAAACUGACUGUC
rnacentral:lncRNA from 1 species